UACGUAGUUGAUCAGUGGCUACAGAACGAACGCUGGCGGCAGGCCUAACACAUGCAAGUCGAGCGCCCCGCAAGGGGAGCGGCGGACGGGUGAGUAACGCGUGGGAACGUACCCUUUGCUACGGAAUAGCCUCGGGAAACUGGGAGUAAUACCGUAUGUGCCCUUCGGGGGAAAGAUUUAUCGCCCAAGGAUGAGCCCGCGUAGGAUUAGCUAGUUGGUGAGGUAAAGGCUCACCAAGGCGACGAUCCUUAGCUGGUCUGAGAGGAUGAUCAGCCACACUGGGACUGAGACACGGCCCAGACUCCUACGGGAGGCAGCAGUGGGGAAUAUUGGACAAUGGGCGAAAGCCUGAUCCAGCAAUGCCGCGUGAGUGAUGAAGGCCUUAGGGUUGUAAAGCUCUUUUGCCCGGGAUGAUAAUGACAGUACCGGGAGAAUAAGCUCCGGCUAACUCCGUG
rnacentral:rRNA from 1 species